rnacentral:rRNA from 1 species
CUACGGGUUGCAGCAGUAGGGAAUCUUCGGCAAUGGACGGAAGUCUGACCGAGCAACGCCGCGUGAGUGAAGAAGGUUUUCGGAUCGUAAAGCUCUGUUGUAAGAGAAGAACGAGUGUGAGAGUGGAAAGUUCACACUGUGACGGUAUCUUACCAGAAAGGGACGGCUAACUACGUGCCAGCAGCCGCGGUAAUACGUAGGUCCCGAGCGUUGUCCGGAUUUAUUGGGCGUAAAGCGAGCGCAGGCGGUUAGAUAAGUCUGAAGUUAAAGGCUGUGGCUUAACCAUAGUACGCUUUGGAAACUGUUUAACUUGAGUGCAGAAGGGGAGAGUGGAAUUCCAUGUGUAGCGGUGAAAUGCGUAGAUAUAUGGAGGAACACCGGUGGCGAAAGCGGCUCUCUGGUCUGUAACUGACGCUGAGGCUCGAAAGCGUGAGGAGCAAACAGGAUUAGAUACCCGGGUAGUC